UACGAAGGGGGCGAGCGUUGUUCGGAAUUACUGGGCGUAAAGGGCGCGUAGGCGGCCGAUCAAGUUAGAUGUGAAAGUCCUGGGCUUAACCUGGGGACUGCAUUUGAUACUGAUUGGCUUGAAUUCGGGAGAGGAUAGCGGAAUUCCCAGUGUAGAGGUGAAAUUCGUAGAUAUUCGGAAGAACACCAGUGGCGAAGGCGGCUCACUGGACUGGUAUUGACGCUGAGGUGCGAAAGCGUGGGGAGCAAACAGG
rnacentral:rRNA from 1 species